UCCCUCAGUUCACAUAGACCAGGCUUCCUCUUUAGAGGCAUAAGCUGUAAAACAGGAGAGUCUGUUUUAAGAGGAUCUGUUUGAAGUUUAAUGUAACUGAAGUCCAUGCACCUGAAGCCAUUAAUUGAUAUAAGUGAAGUAAGUCUUUGGGUUUCCGGUAGCUCUGACUCAGAUUCUGCUUGCCUCUUCUCCAUGAGAUUACCAAGGCAUCAGGGCAGAGACUCCCUGAGGAUGAGUGGAUCUGGUUCAGAACAUCUGUGAACACAGAGGGAGUGGAAACUUCACUUUCAACAUCAUCAGCCAACUUCCCUCCCAUUACAAUUCUAUCUCAAGAUCAAGGUCAUGCAACAAAACCAGCAGAGCCGUUAUGCUACUUCUGUUGGAAGGAUUGGCUAUUUUAGUCAACGUGAGCUGCGCUGACAAAAACGUGCCUAGAACAUCCUCUGGUGGCGACAGUGGGAAUCAUCAGUUUUUGACAUAACUGAAGGUUCCUUGUUCAGCCCCAUUCCGCAGGAAUGACACUUACCAAGGAAACAGUCCCAUGACUGAACACACGCAGCGACUGAGAAACAGCCUGCUUUGAAGACUUUACCGCAACCCUGCCACAUAUUUUGGGCAUUCUGCUGCGAAAGUUCUUAAUACGGGAUGGCACCAUCUCGCCACAAGACUUGCUUCCCACUCUUUUCUACCACUGGUGUAAAUCUGGAAGUGAAAAGUAAAGAGAACUUACAAAUCA
rnacentral:lncRNA from 1 species